rnacentral:rRNA from 1 species
UGGGGAAUUUUGGACAAUGGGCGCAAGCCUGAUCCAGCCAUGCCGCGUGCGGGAAGAAGGCCUUCGGGUUGUAAACCGCUUUUGUCAGGGAAGAAAUCUUCUGAGUUAAUACCUCGGGAGGAUGACGGUACCUGAAGAAUAAGCACCGGCUAACUACGUGCCAGCAGCCGCGGUAAUACGUAGGGUGCAAGCGUUAAUCGGAAUUACUGGGCGUAAAGCGUGCGCAGGCGGUUUUGUAAGACAGAGGUGAAAUCCCCGGGCUCAACCUGGGAACUGCCUUUGUGACUGCAAGGCUUGAGUGCGGCAGAGGGGGAUGGAAUUCCGCGUGUAGCAGUGAAAUGCGUAGAUAUGCGGAGGAACACCGAUGGCGAAGGCAAUCCCCUGGGCCUGCACUGACGCUCAUGCACGAAAGCGUGGGGAGCAAAACGGGAUUAGAUACCCUGGGUAGUCCACGCCCUAAACGAUGUCAACUGGUUGUUGGGAAGGUUCCUUCUCAGUAAACGUAGCUAACGCGUGAAG